GCUGGGAUAGCUCCGUCGGUGGAGCAUGAGACUCUUAAUCUCAAGGACGCAGGUUUGAGUCCCAAGUCAGGCA